ensembl:lncRNA
AGGCUCCAGCUCUUCCCCCUGCUUAAUUUGGGCUUAAGGACAGAUGCCCUGAAUAUUGCAGACUCCACUUCUCUCACCUUCCAUUUCAUUCCACUGGAACACUCUACCACAUCACCCUGAGGUUCUGGACCAGGAGUCAUGCCCUGUGACCUUGAGACUGCACUCAGGCAGCGUGCAGUGCAGCAGGGAGUCUUCUCCAGCCCCAUCAACCGGAUGAAAGCUUUCCUACAAGGCCCACAUUGUCCUCUGCUUCCCCUCCUGGUUUGCCUCUUUCUCAUCAGAGUUCUGCAGCUCCCAGAGUCUGUUCCAUACCCUCAGUCCAUAUCGGUGGAGAGCCUGCAUGGCCAUGACCUGGAAGGGAGUGGAAGGACUCCUAAACACACUUAUCUGGGAUGCAGUCACCAGGAGAGGUGAACGUGAAUUUCUUACUCUCCUCUUGCCCAGAGAAACUUUCACCGCCAUGAAGAAACAUGUGGAACUAGUAGUCAUCAGAACACACUUGCAGAGAUGCUGAAUGAGGUGAUGUCUAAAGUUGUUCCAGCCCAAACAUUCCAUGAUUCUAGGCAGCCAGUGUCCUGUGAAACGCCUGUUUCUUCUAUUCACCCCUUCCUUGGUGACUGACUCCAGUCUCUGUUCUAAGGUGGCUCUCCCAGGGAGAAGUACACUUGAAUGCCUAGGACGUCACUUCAAAAGCUAGUCAGACUCCUGAAACCCCUUCUAGCAGAUUAAACGGAACACACCCCACUGUACCCCAAUAUACGCAUACACGCACAUAUGCACAUACACUGCGCUUAGUGCUCAGACUUAGGCCCAGUCUGAGCACUAAGACUGGGGAUUGCAAAACAUUUGGGAAAACAAAGAAAACCCGACUCUUUUCUGCUCCAGACAGUCUGAGACACUUUUGUGCCC